UACGAAGGGGGCUAGCGUUGCUCGGAAUGACUGGGCGUAAAGGGCGCGUAGGCGGUUUGUACAGUCAGGUGUGAAAUUCCCGGGCUCAACCCGGGAAGUGCACUCGAUACUGCCAAGCUAGAGUAUCGGAGAGGUUGGUGGAAUUCUCGGUGUAGAGGUGAAAUUCGUAGAUAUCGAGAGGAACACCGGUGGCGAAGGCGGCCAACUGGACCGGUUCUGACGCUGAGGCGCGAAAGCGUGGGUAGCAAACAGG
rnacentral:rRNA from 1 species